rnacentral:rRNA from 1 species
GACGAACGCUGGCGGCGUGCUUAACACAUGCAAGUCGAACGGAAAGGCUCCAGCUUGCUGGAGUACUCGAGUGGCGAACGGGUGAGUAACACGUGGGUAAUCUGCCCUGCACUCUGGGAUAAGCCUGGGAAACUGGGUCUAAUACUGGAUAUGACCUUUCUCCUUAUGGGGUUUGGUGGAAAGUUUUUCGGUGUAGGAUGAGCCCGCGGCCUAUCAGCUUGUUGGGGGGGUGAUGGCCUACCAAGGCGACGGCGGGUAGCCGGCCUGAGAGGGUGGUCGGCCAAAAUAGGACUGAGAUACGGCCCAGACUCCUACGGGAGGCAGCAGUGGGGAAUAUUGCACAAUGGGCGGAAGCCUGAUGCAGCGACGCCGCGUGAGGGAUGACGGCCUUCGGGUUGUAAACCUCUUUCAGCAGGGACGAAGCGUAAGUGACGGUACCUGCAGAAGAAGCACCGGCUAACUAUGUG